rnacentral:rRNA from 1 species
UUUCUAUGGAUAUGGAUCCAUUUGGUUUGUUUGAUUCUUGCUCGAGUCGGAUGAUGAAAAAUUAUCAUGUCCGGUUCCUUCAGAGGAUGGAUCUAUAAGAAUUCACCUAUCCCAAUAACGAAAAAGCCUGACUUAAAUGAUCAUGUAUUUAGAGCUAAAUUGGCUAAAAGGAUGGGUCAUAAUUAUUACGGAGAAACCGCAUGGCCCAAUGAUCUUUUAUAUAUUUUUCCAGUAGUAAUUUUAGGUACUAUUAUUGCAUGUAACGUAGGCUUAGCGAUUCUAGAACCAUCAAUGAUUGGUGAACCCGCGGAUCCAUUUGCAACUCCUUUGGAAAUAUUACCCGAAUGAUAUUUCUUUCCUGUAUUUCAAAUACUUCGUAUAGUACCUAAUAAGUUAUUGGGUGUUCUUUUAAUGGUUUUAGUACCUGCAGGAUUAUUAAUAGUACCUUUUUUGGAGAAUGUUAAUAAAUUUCAAAAUCCAUUUCGUCGUCCAGUAGCGACAACUGUCUUUUUGAUUGGUACCGUAGUGGCCCUUUGGUUGGGUAUUAGAGCAACAUUACCUAUUGAUAAAUCCCUAACUUUAGGUCUUUUUUAAAUCGAUUCAAUUGUGAAAUAAAAUAUCAUGACUUAUGUAUCUAGGGAAUAGUCGCUUUUUGGAUUUAUUCAGAAUAUAUAAAUUAUGUUAAAUUUGAAAUAAAAGCCCAUUUCAUCUUUUUUUUAGAAAAGAAAAAAAAGACGAUUUCCAAUUUAUUCUUCGGUAAAUGGGUUGUGAAAUGCUUUUUCUAGUUCUAGACUGUCCAAUAUUUGUUUUACAUCUUCUAUACGAAAAUAUUCCAUUUUUAUAAGGUCUUCUUGACUCUUAUUCAAAAGGUCAACUAAUGUAUGUAUAUUAUACCUUUUGAGACAAUUAUAGGUCCUGGGAGGCAAUUCUAAUUGGUCAAUAAAAAUAGAUUUCAAUGCUAUUUCUUUUUUCGUUUUCCUUAGCUUAACCAAUCUAGCAUGAAAAGUAAAAAGGGUAAAGUAACCUUGUACUGAUUGUUCCCUAAAUGUAAGUUUUCUUCUUCCGCAUGUAGAAAAGGAAUAAAUAAAUCAAUUAACCUUGUAGGGGUGCAGAGACAGCCAGGAGGUUUGCCUAGAAGCAGCCACCCUUGAAAGAGUGCGUAAUAGCUUACUGAUCGAGCACUCUUGUGCCGAAGAUGAACAAGGCUAAGCGAUUUGCUGAAGCUAUGGGAUGUCAAAAUACAUCAGUAGGGGAGCGUUUCGCCUCAGAGGGAAGCACCCGCGAGAGCAGGGGUGAAUGAAGCGGAAGCGAGAAUGUUGGCUUGAGUAACGCAAACAUUGGUGAGAAUCCAAUGCCCUGAAAGCCUAAGGGUUCCUCGGCAAGGUUCAUCCACGAAGGGUGAGUCAAGGCCUAAGAUCAGGCUGAAAGACGUAGUCGAUGGACAACGGGUGAAUAUUCCUGUACUACCCCUUGUUGGUCCCGAGGGAUGGAGGAGGCUAGGUUAGCCGAAAGAUAAUUAUCUGUUCAAGGACGCAAGGUGCCCUUGCUUUUUCAUGGUAAGAAGGGGUAGAGAAAAUGCCCUGAGCUAAUGUUCGAGUACCAGGCGCUACGGUAUUGAAGUAACCCCUGCCAUACUCCUAGGAAAAGCUCUAAUGACCUUCAACAAAGGGUACCUGUACCCGAAAGCGACACAGGUGGGUAGGUAGAGAAUACCUAGGGGGCACGAGACAACUCUCUCUAAGGAACUUGGCAAAAUAGCCCCGUAACUUCGGGAGAAGGGGUGCCUCAUCACAAAGAGGGUCGUAGUGACCAGGCCCGGGCGACUGUUUACCAAAAACACAGGUCUCUGCAAAGUCGUAAGACCAUGUAUGGGGGCUGACACCUGCCUAGUGCCGGAAAGUCAAGGAAGUUGGUGACCUGAUGAUAAGGGAGCCAGCGACCGAAGCCCCGGUGAAUGGCGACCGUAACUAUAACGGUCCUAAGGUAAUGAAAUUCCUUGUCGGGUAAGUUCUGACCAGCAUGAAAGGCGUAACGAUUUAGGCACUGUCUCGAAGAGAAACUCGGUGAAAUAGACAUGUCUGUGAAGAUGCGAACUACUUGCACAUGGACAGAAAGACCCUAUGAAGCUUACUGUUGCCUAGGAUUGGCUUUGGGCCUUUCCUGCAUAGCUUAGGUGGAAGGCGAAGUAGGCCUCCUUCNNNNNNNNNNNNNNNNNNNNNNNNNNNNNNNNGAUACCACUCUAGAAGAGCUAGAAUUUUAACAUUGUGUCAGGAUCUACGGGCCAUGGGACAAUCUCAAGUAAACAGUUUUUAUGGGGUGUAAGCCUCUCAAAAGGUAACAGAGGUGUGCAAACGUUUCCUCGGGCUGAACGGAGAUUGGCCCUCGAGUGCAAAGGCAAAAGGGAGCUUGACUGCAAGACCCACCCGUCGAGCAGGGACAAAAGUCGGCCUUAGUGAUUCGAUGGUGCCGAGUGGAAGGGCCGUCGCUAAACGGAUAAAAGUUACUCUAGGGAUAACAGGCUGAUCUUCCCCAAGAGUUCACAUCGAUGGGAAGGUUUGGCACCUCGAUGUCGGCUCUUCACCACCUAGGGCUGUAGUAUGUUCCAAGGGUUGGGCUGUUCGUCCAUUAAAGCGGUAUGUGAGCUGGGUUCAGAACGUUGUGAGACAGUUUGGUCCAUAUCCGAUGUGGGCGUUAGAGCAUUGAGAGGACCUUUUCCUAGUACGAGAGGACCAGGAAGGAUGCACCUCUGGUGUACCAGUUAUCGUGCUCAUGGUAAACGCUAGGUAGCCAAGUGCGGAGUGGAUAAUUGCUGAAAGCAUCUAAGUAGUAAGCCCACCCUAAGAUGAGUGCUCUCCUAUUUUGACUUUCCCGGAGCCUCCGAUAGCAUAGUUGAGACAACGAUGGGUUCUCUGCCCCUGUGGGGAUGGAGCGACAAAAGUUUUGAGAAUUUAAGAGAAGGUCACAGCGAGACGAGCUGUUUAUCAUUAUGAUAGGUGUUAAGUGGAAGUGCAGUGAUGUAUGCAGUUGAGGCAUCCUAACAGACCGGUAGACUUGAACCU